CACCUGCAGUCGCGGUACAGAUCGGCCCUGCUAGCCCGCCGCCGCACAUGGUGACAGGAGCCACAGGCAGGAACGCGACCCACAGCUCUGGGGACCAUCGGCCCGGCCGCAGGGCGAAGUCAGCAAGGGCACGCGGCGGCGGUGGUGCUGACUCAGCACAACCUCCCCGGGGUCGCCCAGCAGCAGCAGCAGCCACCCGCAAGCGCCGCAGGGCAACGGGCCUCCCCCGCCUCCGGCCCCACCCGGCCGCACCCGAGGGCGCGCGGCGUCACAGAGCGCAUGCGUGCCGCGGGGGAUGCCGGGAGCGCGCAGUGGCGGCAGCGACGGCGACGGCAGUAAUAUCGGCGGCAACAGCGAGGACGGGACCGGGGCGGUGACCGUGUGGGAGGUGGUCUCACUCUUGGGAAAGCUGCUGGGCACCGUCGCCGCGCUGAAGGUGGUUCUGUACCUGCUCCGGGUGUGCUUAGCGAUGGCCUGGAAAUCCGGCGGCGCCAGCCACUCGGAGCUUAUCCACAAUCUCCGCAAAAAUGGAAUCAUCAAGACAGAUAAAGUAUUUGAAGUAAUGCUGGCUACAGACCGCUCGCACUAUGCAAAAUGUAACCCAUAUAUGGAUUCUCCACAAUCAAUAGGUUUCCAAGCAACAAUCAGUGCUCCACACAUGCAUGCAUAUGCACUAGAACUUCUAUUUGAUCAAUUACAUGAAGGAGCUAAAGCUCUUGAUGUAGGAUCUGGAAGUGGAAUCCUUACUGCAUGUUUUGCACGUAUGGUUGGAUGUAAUGGAAAAGUCAUAGGAAUUGAUCACAUUAAAGAGCUAGUAGAUGAAUCAAUAAAUAAUGUCAGAAAAGAUGAUCCAACACUUUUGACUUCAGGGAGAGUACAACUGGUUGUGGGAGAUGGAAGAAUGGGAUAUGCUGCAGAAGCGCCUUACGAUGCAAUUCAUGUUGGAGCUGCAGCCCCAGUUGUGCCACAGGCACUAAUAGACCAGUUAAAGCCUGGUGGAAGAUUGAUAUUGCCAGUUGGUCCUGCAGGUGGAAAUCAAAUGUUGGAGCAGUACGACAAGCUACAAGAUGGCAGUGUCAAAAUGAAACCUCUUAUGGGAGUGAUAUAUGUGCCUUUAACAGAUAAAGAGAAGCAGUGGUCCAGUUGCUGGCACAGUGCUCCACCUGGCUGAGUGAAUGGCUUCUUUUGGAGCUGAUAAAGCUGCCUUAUGAAGUCAGCUGACAGGGAUGAGCUGUAAAGCAACAUCAGCUUGACCAGUCUAUAAUAUUGCAGUGGAUCGCUCAUCUCAGUCCUUAAAGCUUUUUGAAAACCAAUAGCAUCACAGCUUGUUUUGGACUUUGUUACACUGUUAUUUUCAGCAUGAAAUUUGUGGUUUUGUAGGGUCUUCUAAUUCUUCAAAGAGGCACAGAGCGAAAUGGUAGAGGAAGGAUACAAAGUAUAAAUCUGUGUGUUAUUACUUAACAUGCCCACGUUUUACUUUAAAAUAUUAAAAGAAGGGUUUCUGCAAAAUGAAACAGUUAGUUUGUGAAUUGAUUUUGAGGAGUGAAUUUUCUUUUCUUGGACACUUAAUUCUAUUCUGAUAUUAAUUUAUGAGAUUUCUUUUGUGCAUCAGAUAACACCACCAUUCACAAGUUAAGAUUCUUGGUAUUUGGAUGUCUGUUAGAGACUACUAAGAAAAUAGAGAUGAGCUUUCUUUUUAAAGCUUUUGAUGUGGUAUCAUAGAAUAGCAUGUUGUAGAUACAAUCAGCUGCUUUGUUACCUUAAAACUAGGCAUUGUAAAUACUGAAACUUAAGAAGAUGGCAGGUAAUGUCCUAUCAACGCUCAGUUGUUCAGAUUGGACAUAACUGACAUAGUUCCCCCCACCCUUUCUCUCCUCUCCCCAUCUCCCUCUCCCUCUCUCUCUAAAACCAAUAGGAGACUUGUAGUUCAGUAUUGUUUUUUCUGUUUCUAGUUUGCUGCUGAUAAUGUAUAUGAAUCUAACAUGCUGUGUAAGCUGUGUGCUGGAUUCUGCACAGCUUAUGCAGUGCUGCUUUGCCAAAUAAAGUUAAAAGCAAAAGAGGCAUUGGUGGUGUUUGACUCUAGAAGGGAGAAUGUUAGGUCUACAAGAUCCAGAAUGUUGAUUGAGACCAUGAAGGAAAAAUUGCUUCUCUGAUUUGUGAAAUCUGAAUAGGUAAAUAGCACCAAUUCUUCUGUACAUUGUGGAAUGUGACUAUAUUUCUUUAGGGCAAGAACCACAUUGUAUUCACCAUUUCUCUCUGUUGGUCUAACCCAGGGCUCAUCUUGCAGUAUUUAGAAAAUAAAUGCCAAAUCAGUGAGUGGGUGAAUGAAUUGACUGAAUUGUCAGGGAGGAAUACAGUGGAGGGUAAACGUACUAAAACCCACCUCUCAUAUAUAGAUUUAUUAAUAUAGUGCCUAUGAAAUGUGUUUCUAAGAAAGUGCCGGCUUUUGGGGAUCUUGUUUACAUGUUGUAGUUUAUAGAUAUAUUUAUAAGAUCUUGGUUUUCUUAGUGUUCUAGAACUUGAGAAACUAUUACAAGCUCUAGAAUGAGCAGAACCAGAAUGUCCAGCAGUGCCCUCUUGUGUGUAAAGUAUGCAUACUUUUGCCAAGGAGAUCCUGAGUGAGCAUGUGACUCACCCUUCCCUACUCUUAAAAUGUUUAUUACUGCUUUAAAAAUGGCUUUUAAAAAUUAUUCAUACAUCUUUUCACAAGUGUCUCCUCUUGGCUAAGGCUUUAGACAAGGAAUCUAGCAUUAUUUGAUGCCCCAAAAUGUAAUUUUACCAUUGUCUUCGGUUUACUGUUGUCUGUCACUUCUAAGCCCUUGGCUAUGGAAACCUUCACGUCCAGGACUCAGUGUUACGUGAGGUGUUUGCUAGUCUAUAUCAUAUCCAUUAUACCUACAUUUUAUUCUAUAUAAAUUUCUAUGUUAGGUUUUGGGGAUAGAAAAAGACCCUUACUAUCAAGAAGUCUGCAGUCUAAUUGCAGAGACAGUUUAUGAUAAGACAAAACUACUACCCAGAUGGUACAGACCAGUGCAUUUAAGCAUUGUUCAAGCAUCUUGGACUUUGUACUUUUAAGAAUUAAAAUUUCACGGUGUUGAAUAAAUAGGAUGAAUUUUGAGGGAGUAUUACUAAAUAGGUAGCCAUGGGAAUAGUAGAUUUUAACUAGGUCUUAGAACUUUUUUCUUUAAGAGAGCUGAAUUAUAUAUGUAUGUAGUCAACAUAUAAGAAAUGUCUCGUUAAUCUUUAGUCAUAAUUUGGCAUUUUAUUUUUCCUUAAUAAAAAUGAUGUAUUGUGGAGGGCAACAAUGAAAAUAUUUCAAAAAGUUCCAGUGUAAUGAGAUAUGUUGAAACAAAAUUUUGUCUAUUUUUCUAACCUUAUUAAAGACAAAAUUCGCUGCCAAAACUUAUGUAAUAAUUAACUGGGUGCAGUGGCACACACUUUUAAUCCUAGUGACUUGGUUGGCUUAGGCAGGAGGGUCACAAGUUUAAUGUCAGCCUCAGCAACUUAGCGAGGCUCUACCAAACUUAGUGAGAUGCUGUCUGUAAGUAAGAAAUAGAAAAAGGACUGGGAUGUGGCUCAGUGGUAAAGCACUCCUGAGUUCAAUCAUCAGUACCAAAAAAAAAAAAAAAGUAAUAAAAAGCAUGAGUUUCUAUUGAGGGCUUUAACUCUUUCCCAGAAGAAAAUGACAUGUGGAGGAAAAUAAUUUAUUACUAUUGUUCAUGGAAAUAUUCAAAAUCCCAUUGCCCUAAUUCUAGAAAAUGUCAUUGUUUAAAAUUUAAAAAGGCAAUGAAACUUUUUAAAUUGGCUACAAUGUACCUAUAUUAAAGCAUCUUAAAAAUGCAAUGAUUCUAAAAUAGGAUUUUCUUUUGUAAUAAAUGAAUUGUCAUGAAUUCUUCAAAGCUAUUCUUGGUAUGUGAUUAUUAGCCAGGAAAUAACUCCUUUUUUGUUUAUCUUAUUAGAAAGGUAAGCAUUUUUUGGUUUUCAAUUAAAUGUUAACAAAUUUUCCAGUAGUUUGGCAUGCCACUCAAAGAACUCAUGUGAAUAUGGUAACUAAUAUUAAAAAUGAAUAAUAAACAUGGGAAGUUUUAAAAAUAAAGUUCUAAGUGUGGUUCAGUGGACCAAUAACUUAUUUUAGGUAAGUGCUAAAAUUCUUGAGGCAUAUAAUUCAUUAUUAUUCUGCAGCUCACUCUGUCCUUGAACUAUAUUCAGUAAAACAAGUGAGUUCUGAUUGAAUUUCACUUGUCUCUGGAUUUCUUAGAGCAUUUUUCAGAAAGAUAACAGUGUUUUGUCCCUGCUAUACAUUAAAGGGUGGCUCAAAUAGAGUGCCAGUGAAACAAUCCCUCUUGAAGAAAACUGGCUCAAGAAAGUUUGUGUUUGUAUAUUGUAAUAAAAUAAAAAGAAAUCAAGUCCAA